GAAUGCACACCCACAUCAGCCGCCUCCUGCACGUCCGCUGCUCCACAUCUUCGCUGCAGGCUGCAGCUCGAUGAUUCGUGCUCUGUGCAGGGCGGGUACCCUUGGCCUCACUCUCGGGCUCUGAAAACCAAGACAAGGAACACAUUGCUGAAUGCUCUACGAGAUCAUAAAACAAAGACCCUACGAGGGUAAAGAAAAUGUAUGUGCGUUAGGAAGUUGGCUGAUACUAGAUCUUCUCAUUACGUCAAUCAGUCAACUGUAUUGAGUCGAAGGCAUUAGUGACGCAUUAGAGUAGUUAGCAUCAAAGAGGGCCAACAGACAUAGUUGGAUACAAUGAGGAGGAACAGGUUUGUGUUGUAUUAUAGAUGCUAUUGAGAAUACCUGUUUCAGUAAUAAUGACACACACCGUUAUUGCUUUAUUUAACAGGAAGUUGUAUUCGGGGUUAUAACCUUUGUACUUCAUAUUGGAAAUAUAACAUUUGCCAAGAGAACAUAAGUUGAUUCAUUUGUGCUUAAGGAUGAUAACUCCAGUUUCACCUUAACACUGCAGCAGAACUACUGGAGUGAGCAUAUUUUUUCCUUUCAAAAAGCCCUGAAGAAGUUUUUACUAGAAGGAGUCUGCACUGCACUUGCUAGCUGAGAUGAAUUAGCCAAAACACUAUACUCCCGAUUGUUUGAUUGUUACGGUGAACUCUUGAGUGUUAUAUGCCAACUUAGAAGGUUAAGAACCAAGUGCAUAAGAGCUUUGUGAGGGCCGGAGGAAGCACAACUUGCUA